GGCCUGCCUCAUACACUGCAUUGUAGAUCGUGUUUCUCCGCAGUUCCAUCAAAGCGUUGUUACCUAGUAUUUACAAAACAUUGAAAAUAUCAUCUUAUUUUAUACCUGGAGUUUAUCAUUUAAAAAAUCUAUUUCACGGCUCCCCCUUUUUCUAAAAGCAAUAGCAAAACACAAAACAAUGGAAUAAAAACAAAAGCAAAACACAC
rnacentral:lncRNA from 1 species